rnacentral:misc_RNA from 1 species
GCGAACGGCCCCCUGGGCCUUCAAGCCCCACACACCCGUGGAAGCUAGCCCGUGCUUUGGCGCCCUUGUCUGGCGCCGCCUCAUGCGGCCGACCUAUCUGUGUCUGAAUCAAACCUAGAAUUA